rnacentral:lncRNA from 1 species
UGUGUCUAAUCCUAAGAGACCAUUUGCUGCAAUUGUUGGUGGUUCAAAGGUGUCUUCAAAGAUUGGAGUGAUUGAAUCCUUGUUGGAAAAGGUUAAUCUUCUUGUUCUUGGUGGAGGAAUGAUCUUUACCUUCUACAAGGCCCAAGGACUUGCAGUGGGUAAAUCACUUGUGGAAGAAGACAAGCUUGACCUUGCUACCUCGCUCAUUGAGAAGGCAAAAGCCAAGGGAGUUUCUCUUUUGCUUCCAACCGACGUAGUGGUAGCAGAUAAAUUUGCUGCUGAUG